CGGGUGAGUAACACGUAUGCAAUCCACCUGUAACAGGGGGAGUAACCCGGAGAAAUCCGGACUAAUACCCCAUAAUAUGGGCGCUCCGCAUGGAGAGUUCAUUAAAGAGAGCAAUUUUGGUUACAGACGAGCAUGCGCUCCAUUAGCCAGUUGGCGGGGUAACGGCCCACCAAGGCGACGAUGGAUAGGGGCUCUGAGAGGAAGGUCCCCCACAUUGGAACUGAGACACGGUCCAA
rnacentral:rRNA from 1 species